rnacentral:rRNA from 1 species
GCUUGCUUCUCUGAUGUUAGCGGCGGACGGGUGAGUAACACGUGGAUAACCUACCUAUAAGACUGGGAUAACUUCGGGAAACCGGAGCUAAUACCGGAUAAUAUUUUGAACCGCAUGGUUCAAAAGUGAAAGACGGUCUUGCUGUCACUUAUAGAUGGAUCCGCGCUGCAUUAGCUAGUUGGUAAGGUAACGGCUUACCAAGGCAACGAUGCAUAGCCGACCUGAGAGGGUGAUCGGCCACACUGGAACUGAGACACGGUCCAGACUCCUACGGGAGGCAGCAGUAGGGAAUCUUCCGCAAUGGGCGAAAGCCUGACGGAGCAACGCCGCGUGAGUGAUGAAGGUCUUCGGAUCGUAAAACUCUGUUAUUAGGGAAGAACAUAUGUGUAAGUAACUGUGCACAUCUUGACGGUACCUAAUCAGAAAGCCACGGCUAACUACGUGCCAGCAGCCGCGGUAAUACGUAGGUGGCAAGCGUUAUCCGGAAUUAUUGGGCGUAAAGCGCGCGUA